GUGCAAUCGCCCAGCUGCAAUAAAUCUUGAAAGCUCCCUAAACGAAGAAAAAAAGUUGGUUAAGUCCUGUUUCAUCAGGGACUUGUAGACCUAAGAGCACAGAAACUGCUGUUACACCACACUGUAUUUCUGAAGCAACAGCUUAUGGAUCUUCAUGAGGUAUCUUAUGCAUCCUCAUCUUACUAAGGCUUGGACAUUGCACCUAAAAAAAUCAUUUUAGUGACCUGAACACAAAACCUCUUGGUUCUUUCUUAUCAGGCCAAAGUGUUGUACUUGAGUGAGUGAAACUUACCACUGAGCUUUGUGUCAACUACUCUCAAAUCCAAAAGCAGCAGUAAUGCAGUGUGGCUACUUGGAAUUUAUCCUGAGCAUCCUUCUUUCAGGGGGAGAGACCACCUUGCUGAAGGCAACAGCUGGAUCUGCUGCCUGCAGGCGCAGCCUGGAGCUGGGUAACAAGCAGAACUCG